rnacentral:rRNA from 1 species
AAAUUGAAGAGUUUGAUCAUGGCUCAGAUUGAACGCUGGCGGCAGGCCUAACACAUGCAAGUCGAGCGGUAGCACAGAGAGCUUGCUCUCGGGUGACGAGCGGCGGACGGGUGAGUAAUGUCUGGGAAACUGCCUGAUGGAGGGGGAUAACUACUGGAAACGGUAGCUAAUACCGCAUAAUGUCGCAAGACCAAAGUGGGGGACCUUCGGGCCUCAUGCCAUCAGAUGUGCCCAGAUGGGAUUAGCUAGUAGGUGGGGUAACGGCUCACCUAGGCGACGAUCCCUAGCUGGUCUGAGAGGAUGACCAGCCACACUGGAACUGAGACACGGUCCAGACUCCUACGGGAGGCAGCAGUGGGGAAUAUUGCACAAUGGGCGCAAGCCUGAUGCAGCCAUGCCGCGUGUGUGAAGAAGGCCUUCGGGUUGUAAAGCACUUUCAGCGGGGAGGAAGGCGAUAAGGUUAAUAACCUCAUCGAUUGACGUUACCCGCAGAAGAAGCACCGGCUAACUCCGUGCCAGCAGCCGCGGUAAUACGGAGGGUGCAAGCGUUAAUCGGAAUUACUGGGCGUAAAGCGCACGCAGGCGGUCUGUCAAGUCGGAUGUGAAAUCCCCGGGCUCAACCUGGGAACUGCAUUCGAAACUGGCAGGCUAGAGUCUUGUAGAGGGGGGUAGAAUUCCAGGUGUAGCGGUGAAAUGCGUAGAGAUCUGGAGGAAUACCGGUGGCGAAGGCGGCCCCCUGGACAAAGACUGACGCUCAGGUGCGAAAGCGUGGGGAGCAAACAGGAUUAGAUACCCUGGUAGUCCACGCCGUAAACGAUGUCGAUUUGGAGGUUGUGCCCUUGAGGCGUGGCUUCCGGAGCUAACGCGUUAAAUCGACCGCCUGGGGAGUACGGCCGCAAGGUUAAAACUCAAAUGAAUUGACGGGGGCCCGCACAAGCGGUGGAGCAUGUGGUUUAAUUCGAUGCAACGCGAAGAACCUUACCUGGUCUUGACAUCCACAGAACUUAGCAGAGAUGCUUUGGUGCCUUCGGGAACUGUGAGACAGGUGCUGCAUGGCUGUCGUCAGCUCGUGUUGUGAAAUGUUGGGUUAAGUCCCGCAACGAGCGCAACCCUUAUCCUUUGUUGCCAGCGGUUCGGCCGGGAACUCAAAGGAGACUGCCAGUGAUAAACUGGAGGAAGGUGGGGAUGACGUCAAGUCAUCAUGGCCCUUACGACCAGGGCUACACACGUGCUACAAUGGCAUAUACAAAGAGAAGCGACCUCGCGAGAGCAAGCGGACCUCAUAAAGUAUGUCGUAGUCCGGAUUGGAGUCUGCAACUCGACUCCAUGAAGUCGGAAUCGCUAGUAAUCGUAGAUCAGAAUGCUACGGUGAAUACGUUCCCGGGCCUUGUACACACCGCCCGUCACACCAUGGGAGUGGGUUGCAAAAGAAGUAGGUAGCUUAACCUUCGGGAGGGCGCUUACCACUUUGUGAUUCAUGACUGGGGUGAAGUCGUAACAAGGUAACCGUAGGGGAACCUGCGGUUGGAUCACCUCCUUACCUUAAAGAA